CAAUAAUUAUAUGCUGUCCUCAUGCCUCAGGCAUAGAAGGAUAGUAAUGGUGUAACCUGGAGACAUUUUAAGGCUGUUUUUGUUGAUUCUACUUGAAGAUUGGCCCAUUACUUUUGGCAUGCAUUUCAACAUUCUACCAUUGUCUUACAAUUUUCUGGUGUUCAUUUGUCACACUGACAGAAACCAGUUUAAAAUUUAAAUCCAUAUCCCUCCUGAAUCUCCUAAAAGAGUUUGCAGACCAAAGCCUGUGCAAUGACUGAUGAUGCUUCUGUCAGGUGCCAGAAGAUCCAGCAGAACUGCUCAACAAGUUUCUUAACAAGAAAAAAGUGUGGUAACUGAUACAAUGACUCUGAGGAAAUAUGUGACCUGGGGAGAGCUAGAGCCUGAACAUCUAUGCUUGGCCUCUAUCAGAAGACCUCUACUUGGGGGAAAUAAAUCAUCAGAACUUUUCAUGGAUGCUUCAGCUUGAGUGAAAAGAAAAUUGGAGAUAUGAGGUUUUCAGACACAUAGCUAAGUGUUCACUACAAAGUGUUUGCCAAAAUAUGGAAUUGUAUGAAGGUGUGAGCUAAAAAACUAUGCCAAAAACCUUUGAGAAACAUAAAGAAAGAGUUCUGGAUCAAGAUUGUGGAGUAGGGAGAUCCUGAGUUCACCCCCUCCCACAGACACAUCAAUCAUACUGCAUGUAGAACAACUAUCUCUGAGAAUCACCUGAAGUCUGGCAGAACAGAUUUUCUACAACUAAGGAUAUAAAGAAAGGCCAUGUUGAGAUGGGUAGAAGAAACAGAUAUGCAGCCUACUCAGAAGUCAAACCCCCAGAGCAGUGACCCACAGGCGGAAGGGAUAUCUCAACCACAGAGGUCUACCCUGAGAAGCAAGAGGUCUGAGCCCCAUGUUGGACCCCCCAGCCCAGGGGACCUGAGUUGAGAAGACAAGUCCCCUUAAUGUCUGGCUUUGAGAACCAGUGGGGUAUAUGACUGGGAAAGCCAGAGGACUCUGGGAAAACUAGACUUCUAUCUUGAAGGGCUCACCUACAAACUCACUUGCUCUGUGUCCCAGCCCAAAAGCAGCAGCUCGAAAAGCACUUGAGUUGCACAAGAGAGAGAUUCAUUGACUAAUUUAGGGCAUAUGCUGGAGGAACAAGGAUCUGGUGGAACUUUUGACAGAGACAGAAGUGCUGGUGGGUGCCAUUUUUUUGCUUUUUAACUCUCAUCUAGCUGUCUCAACAGUAGUGGGCACCAUUUCUGUCACUCUCCAUCAACCUAGCUAACACCAUGUACCUAGUUCUGGUGCUCCCUUGAAGACCCAUCCUCCCCUUCCUGCCAGUCCAGGGAUCAAAAGCAACUCCUGCACUGCCCCCCUUGGUGGGCAGUCCUGGUCAGUACUGGCACCCUUCAAAAGCAGUUCAUAUCCCUCCCUAUCUGGCAGAGAGCCCAGCCCAGCACCAUCAACCCUCCAAAGCGGCUCCCGCCCCAACCUAACCAGUGGACAACCCUGGCCAGCCCCAACACCCCUUCAUACGACCUCCCUCUCUGGGAGGCCAGCACUGCAUACCAGUGUGCCCACAAGAGUCGUAGCUGGGUUUCAUGGCCAGCUGCACUGAAGGACAGCCCUGCAUGUGAGCAAGCCGCCAGCAGUCAGGGCCAGACCUCUCAGUCAAGCAGGUUGGGGGUCAGCCCCAUCUCUCAGCACACUUGAAGCAGUCUCAAGCAGGCCUGGAAGACAGUCAGACUGGGGGCCAGGCUUGUCCCCCAGCACACCCACAGCAGUUGCAACCAGGCCUUGAAGAUGGAUGGGCCGGGGAUCAGUCUUAUGCACGAGCGCAUCCAUAGCAGUAGCAGCUGGGCCUGAUAGGCAACUGGUCUGGGGGCCAGCUCUGCCCACCAGCAUGCCAGCAGCAAUCAUGGCCCAACCACAACAGGGGGGCACACUCAGCCCACACAAGGGAUACCUCUGGGGCAUAAGGCUCUGGUGCAUAGGGGACAUUGUGCCACUGGGCCCCACAAUACACUUCCUACACAAGGCUUGUCUUUCAAUAGUGGGAGACGUAGCUUAUAUACUUAAUACAUUAAAACAAACACAGACACAGAGAGUUAGGCAAAACUGUAUACUGUAUGUCAACUAUACUUCUAUAAUAAUAAUAAUAAACAAGAAAGAAAAAUAUAGUGAAAAUUCUCAGACUCUCUGGUCUGAGGAGAAGAUCCACCAGACUGACAUCUGCCCUAGAAGUGGGAAUGAACCAAAGAUAGAUUCAGUUUUAGUAAAACUGCAAUGAUUUUUGAUAAAAUUCAGUCCAUGAUUCAGUUAAGAUCAUCAUUCCUUUACUCCGUCAGCUUAGCAGAGGAAUUAGUUGGUUCUUUCUGAUGGAACAUAAAAUUGUAAGUCCUUACACUUUUUUUUCAUAUAUAGGAUCCAACGUUCCAUCUAUGAAUAUCAAGCUUCAAAGUAGACAGUGCUGUAUGACUAGUAAACGAGAAACAAUAAAAUCAACCUUCCAAACGUGUGGGAUAAAGCAAAUAUUGCCUGUUUCAGAGGAGAGCAGUUCCCUUCAUAAACCUAGAUGACCAGCCCACUAGCCUUUAUCCCGAGUUGUCCCACCAGAUGUAACUUAGAAGAGUUAACAUUUACGGGCUUCUUUCCACAUAUUUUACUGUUUGAAUGUUUAAUAAUAAUUGACUUUUGGACAUUUUUUUUUUCCAUUUGCUGAAUUUAUUUAAACAAAUCAAUUUAGAAAUAUCAUAGAAUUAAAUAAAACUUCUGACAUGUAAACAUACUGCCAUACUCCUGAAACAUAUGUUAACAUCUGAGAGAAUUUAAUAAUUGCUUAUUAGGAAAGCUGUCCAUUAAUAAGGUCAGUCUUCAACAAAACUAACCAACAAAACCAAGAUUUAAAUGCAAUUCUUCUGUAUCCAAUACCAACGUUAUGUAUUACUAGUUGGUUAUAUUUUUUCAAGGCUUACUGAUAUUUAUCAAUUUUUUUCUCAGAUUUUCUGAAAUAUUAGUUUCUCUGAUAACCAGGCUUUGACUGACUUCAAAUGAAGGAAUUACUAAAUCACUUGUGACACACUCUUCUAAAUCUGGGGGCAUGUUCACUUGUAUUUUAUGCAUUUUUUCAUAACUGAUGCAUUUAGAAUUUGUACAUUGAUUUGUUUAGUUCAAUGACAGUUAACAUAGUUAUUUGUUUCCUCUAAUAUCAUGAUUUCAGGUUGAGAAAGAAAAUUUUGCUCUGUCAUCUAAAUAUAAGUACUUAAUGUCUCAAACACUUUUUUAAAAUAAGGCUUGAAUUUAUGCAGUAUAAUGAAAUACUAAUAUUAUUCAUAAUAAUUAAUGGUAUUAUUAAAAUAAACAACUAAUAAGUAAAAGUCAAGACGAGUGAAAUUCAAAUAUUAUUGAGUAGAAAGAAUUUCAAUCAUAAUGUUCCAUUAUACAAUCCAAAUAAGUAUAAUUUUACUGAGUAUUAACACUUUAAUUCCAAUAUUUAGACCUUAUGGUAGGCUGAAUAAUGACCUUCACUUCACCCAAGAUGUCUAUGUCCUAAUCCACACAAGCUAUGAAUGUUACCUUAUAUGGCAAAAAAUAAUUUUGGAUGUUAAUGAAUUAAGGAUUUUGAGAUGAGGACACUAUCCUGAAAUAUAUGCGUGGGUCUGAAACAUAGGAAUCCUUAUAAGAGGGAAGCAAUUGUCCACAGAGAUAGAAGGAGAUGUGAAAACAGAAGCAGAGAGAGAUUUGAAGAUGUGACUUUGAAGACUGAGGAAAUGGAAGGCCAAAGAAUGUAAGCAAUGCAGCUCUACAAGCCAGAAAAGGCAAAUAAAAGAAUUCUCCCCUCAGAGCUUCCACAAGGAAACAGCUUUGCCAUUAGCCAGUGAAACUGCUUUAGGAUUUCUGAACUCCAGAGUGUAAGAGAAUGCAUUUGUGUUGUUUAAGUCACCAUGUUUAUGGUAAUUAUAGCAGCAAUAGGAAACAGAUAAAGAACUUGAAACUGCUCAAAUGUAUGAGCUACAAGUUUCAUUGUAGCUAUAUGUAUUUUAUUGCUGUGUUUGAUUUUUAAUUCUUUUGGAACUCAAUUUUAAUUUGUAAUAUUGAUUCUAUAUGUAAUUUUAUCCGAUACACUUAACAUCUCAAUAUGCUUCAAUUUUGGCAUCUUUAAAAUGAAAAUUGUGUAUCAAGGAAGUCCCAUGGUGUAUUUUCACUCUGAGUCUAGAUGUCCUCAAUGGGAGAACGUUAUGAAAGAUUGUUAGUUACAGGUCAGUAAUAUCUUCCCAGUGGCAGAAAAAGAUCAGUACACAAAUGUCUGUAACUUUCUUAUUCUUAGAUGAGAGAAACUGCAUUUAGAGUCUUGCAUGCUUGCCGGAAAUAUCAUUGAAAGUCAAUGUAAACCAGGGUGGUUGCUUCUGCUGCUGCAAUUACCUGCAGGGAACUUUUAGACGGAGGGAAAUAUGUUUCCAUGCAAUAGAGUUUCUGUUAGAGCAUACACCUGAUGCAUAAACCUAGGGCCUAGGAUUUUGCCACUACAGAAGAUAAUAAAUAGAUAAAAUAAUAAAAUCUACUACUCAGAUUGUAAGAUCCUUAAUGCAAGAAAUAUGUUACAUAUUCAAGUCACCAAUGAAAAGUGCCCUUAAGCCAGAGGACAACAAAAUAGUAUAUAAGGAGUCUCGAAAUAUUGUAUUAAGUAUUGGGAAUUCACCUUUUUCUUAAUUAUUGGAAGUUUUAUUUUCUAUGAAUUUUUUUUAAGUAAUAGUGGAGGUCAUACUCUUCUUGAGCAAACUUUCUCUUUUAUUCUUAAAAAUUAUAAAAUUCAUACCAUUUCAUUUUGGGUUUUGUCCUGAUAUUUUCUCCAAAGUCAUAUUUUAACUCUGAAUAUUCAACUGUCUUGCAAAUAUAGAGAGUGAAAAACAUGUGUCAUUAAGAUAAGGAAAAAGUCCCAGUAAUCCCUUUGUGAACCCUUCGUCCAAAGAGAAAGAGCUUGUCUUCUCUUUGCAUUCUUGUGUUUUACUCUACCCAUCAGCACUGACGUAUUCAACAAACAUUAAUUGCCAUAUGUAAGGCACUAAUAGAGGCUUAGAAUAAAAAUAACCAUAAGAGGAGAUAGAACAAAUAAGGAGGUGGACAGAUAAUUUAGAAUAUAACUUGUCAUACAUUUUAAUAAAAUUUUGAACCACAUAA